CCUUUUGUGCUGAAGUAGUUCCAUAAUGAUUCUUUCUUUGGACCUUAUUGACUAAAGCACUACUACUGUUAAACUCCCUAUCCUUUCCUGUCUUGCCCUAUUGUCUUCACCCAAAUCUCAAUACAGCCUUCUUGCCUUUAUUUUCCAAAUCUCCCUUAACUUGACCCUUCCUCACCCUUAGAGUUUAAAAACAGUUAUUGUUAAAUGAUUCACCAGAUUACUGAUUCCAGCCCUGUUUAAAUGGAGCCUAUGCUAAUGGAACAUUCCCCUCUUUCCCCAACACCAGUGCUGUAGUCCCAUAAAUCAAACAUCACAUACACCACUCUUUGGGUUAUGGAUUCAAUUCUCUAAUCUAUGACAAACGGUGCAGAGAUUAUUAACUUUGAGGUUCUGUGUUUUGAUUUGGUCCCUUACUCCUCAAACUCUCAGCAAGGCAUUCUUCUCAGCCCUACCUAUGAAGCUGAUUCCUACAUGGACCACGAGAACUGGGUCUUCUCCUUUCCACUCCAGACUUGUCUACAAGGAGAAGCAUUUUUCUCCUAAAUCAACCUAUCAAACCUCUUAACUUAGACUUCAAUUAAUUCGCCCUUCAAUUUUUCUCUUCUCAAGGGAAGAAGAAUUGUACUGGGCAAGUAAAGGAGUGACUGAAGGUAUGCCAGUUAAAAAGGAAUUCAUGCUUUGUUCACUCAUUGAAGGUGCCUUUAAUGUCAAUGAAUUUAAAGCUUUGGAGGAAUUUCUGACAAAUGAAGCUGAAUAUCCACCUCAGAAAUGCAAAAAGCCACUUGUAAACAAACUUGAUAAACUAGCUCACAAGGAAAUGGACAAAAAUCAGUUCACAAAUGUCUCGUUACUGUUGAAAACAUUGCAGAAGCUCUGUAAAGAGGAUAGCGAUGAUGGUCUCAGUUGUCUAAUUAAACAUGGACUUAUUCAGAAGAUGCUCGUAUGGUUUGAACGAGCAACUGAUUUUAUGAAAACUGCAGAACUAAAAUCUAAUGAAGCACUUAUGACUCUUAUUGAAGACAUGUUUGAUACUGUUUUGGCAAUAUGUAAAUGCAGUAACGAAGGGAGAACUCAACUUAUGGACACUUUUGUGAUACAAUUAGGGCACGGGGUGACUGACUUCCGUCUUAAAAUUUCUAUACGACUAGAGGCUGUAAGAACCUUCAACUCCAUGCUUGACUUAAUCUCUCGUGAAGGAAAAAUAAAAUUUCACCUAUCUGAGGAUGCAAAAGGUCUAAUGCUUGAUUUGGCAAGAACCAUUCUGGAUGUUGGGGAUUAUGAAAUUCAGGUUGCCAUUUCUGAAGCACUAUGCCGAAUGACUGAUAGAAAGACAAGAGAGACUCUGAUUUAUAAAUGGUUUGAUGAGCCUAAUGCAAAUGCUUUCAAAGAGAUCAGAGAUUCUGAAUUUGAAACUGAUUGUAGAAAAUUUCUCAAUUCAUUAAAUGAAAGCCUUCACAGUAAGAGAAGAGUUUAUACCUAUCCAUGCAAUUCUGCAUUCCUCGAUUUGAAUGAGUUAAAAAUACCAGCUGACGAUAAAUUGGAAAAGUUUUGGAUUGAUUUCAAUCUGGGAAGUCGCAGUGUAACUUUUUUCAUUAAAGAUGACAGUCAGGACAAUGAGGUGGACCUCUGGGAGACUGUGAGUUUAUUGCAAGAUGGAGUCAAAAGUUUUAGUGUGCUAGAAGUAAAUACAACUACAGUUCUCCUCAUAAAUCUGAAAGGAAUGCUGUCUGUGAGUAAAAAGAAAGGAAGAAAGGUGAAAAUAUAUUUCGACUCCACAUUUGAUGUCCUGAGCACAACCAAAUUGGUGUAUGGCGAAGAGAAACUACUGAAUUUGGUCUCAUCUCCUAUGGAAUCUCAACUGAAGAGCACAAGACUGGCCUCAAAUAAGCUGACAGUUAUUAGAAGCCGACUUUCAACUGUGGACAAGUUUGAAAUAAUGUAUCCUGCCAGUGAUGGUGAACUUGUGAGAAAGCUUGAUUCAACACAGCCUGAAGAGGAAAGAUACUACAGUGAUACGGGAAUACAGCUGCGUAAAUCAGUAAAGGUAACCAAUAAACUGAAAAACUCAACUGCCUUGGAGUCCAGCAAAAGUAGAAUACAGUGUUGUUCAACUAUGUGUACUGGAACGGAUCUAACAAGAUUGGGACAACAAACAAAAGAUGUCGAGAAUGAUUGCAUACAAAAUUUGGAUUCUAAAGAAGGACAAAGUUUUGCUGAAGCUGCUGUCAGUGUGUCUCCGCCAUCAAGUUCAAAGAAAAUCAGACCUCCUGACACAGCAGAACUGAAGCCACAUAUAGAUGCAGAGGAUACAGGGAUAACCACUGCAGAUAAAGAGCACAAUAUGACUGAGCUUAAAAGAGCAUGGAGUAAACCUACGGAAAAGGAUGUUUUCGAUUUUGAAACUUCUUCUGAUUCUGCAGCGAAUUUACAGGUCAGUGAAGCCAAAAGGAGAAUUCCUGGAAGGAAAAGUCUGUCUUUUGAUGAAGUCUGCAAUCUGAAAGUUGCAACUAGAAGUAAGCAAAUAAACAGAAGAGGAGAAAUGCUUAAAAGAAGUGAUGUAAAGGAGUUCUUCACGGAAGAUUCAAGUAGUGAGGACAUUGAACGCAGCUGGAUCUUGGAACCCCAAGUCAUAGUUACUCCAAAUGCUGCAAACUACAGUAAAUGUAGAAAAAGAAAAAAAUCUAGCUUAAGAGUUUUGCCACUCUCUGAAUCCAGUGAAGAUGAGCAGGAACCGAGAAAGGUAACUGAGAAAACACAGCUGCAAACUCAAGAAGAAAAACAAAAUAUGCCUCCAUCUGGACAGAUUAUGCCAGAAUUUCCAGAUCGACAUCAGACACUAGUUCCUGUACAGAAAGCUAAGAGGAUUAAAACUGAUGAUAUUGCAAUUGGAAGCAAUCUGGUAUUUGAGACAUCACUGUUAACUCCUCCAGACACAUUAGAGAAAGUGAAGAUACCAUCAAGUAAGUUUUGGGGGAAGAUGUCCACAAAGGUUCAGGUCCCAGCAAAUGAAGAGCACACAUCAGAUGAUGCAUUCACAGUGCAACAAUCCACAAGUACUCUCCUAGAAAGGCCUGACACUGAUGGUAGUUAUCCAAAUAAAGAUGAAACCAUACUAACUCCUUUUCCACAUUUUAAAGCAAAAAGGCUGUUUGCAUCAUCUGAGAAGUCUGAGAAAGGUUCAGAAGAAAUGGUGCAGGAAAUCACAACGCCACUCUCUGAGUUGGAUGGUGAAGAGUUGAGUGACCUAAACAUCAGUGCAAUAUUUCAGAACUUCACUGAAGAAAUGAGGAAGUUGAAGUUUUGUUUCAGGAAAAUGGAAGAACACUCCAAGCAGUCCCUGCAGUCUGCUCAACAGAAAAUAGCUAUGUUGUUGAAUCAGAUUCACAAAUCCAGGCUACAGAAAUUGAAUAUGUUUGAGGAAACACUUGUACGGGAACUGAAGAACCUUAAAGAAGAUGUGCAAGCAGUAAAGAACUUGGAGGAAGAAACUCUCGUAUGUGAUUGUUGGAUACUCUUUUUUUCUUAGAAUAACCAGUCGUCAAUAGAACUUUUGGAAGGAGCAGUCUCUUAAGUUCUUGCAGUUUUAUGAAAAUCAAGAACAAAGAAUGAAACCGCUGAUCUCCUCCCCAGAAGAUAAGCUUGGAAACGCAAAUUGAUAUGA